AAUGAACGUUGGCGGCAUGGAUUAGGCAUGCAAGUCGAGCGAGAAGUGUAGCAAUACACGGAAAGCGGCGGAAGGGAGAGUAAUACGUGGGAAUCUGCCCUUAGACCUGGGAUAGCAGCGGGAAACUGCUGGUAAUACCAGAUAAUGUCUAUGGACCAAAGGUGUGAUUCCGUCUAGGGAUGAGCCCACGUCCUAUUAGCUAGUUGGUAGGGUAAUGGUCUACCAAGGCGAUGAUGGGUAGCGGGUGUGAGAGCAUGACCCGCCUCACUGGGACUGAGACACUGCCCAGACACCUACGGGUGGCUGCAGUCGAGAAUCUUCGGCAAUGGGCGCAAGCCUGACCGAGCGAUGCCGCGUGCGGGAUGAAGGCCUUCGGGUUGUAAACCGCUGUCGAGGGGGAGCAACUUCCAUAGAGUUAUCUUUAUGGAUUGAGUGAUCCCUGGAGGAAGGACGGGCUAAGUUCGUGCCAGCCGCCGCCGUAAGAC
rnacentral:rRNA from 1 species